UACGUAGGGCGCGAGCGUUGUUCGGAAUUACUGGGCGUAUAGGGUGUGUAGGCGGGCAGGAAAGCUUGAGGUGAAAGCCCGGGGCUCAACCCCGGAUGGCUUCGAGAACUCCCUGUCUAGAGAGGGUCAGGGGUCAGCGGAAUUCCUGGUGGAGAGGUGAAAUUCGUUGAUAUCAGGAGGAACACCGGAGGCGAAAGCGGCUGACUGGGACCAAUCUGACGCUGAGGCACGAAAGCGUGGGGAGCAAACGGGAUUAGAAA
rnacentral:rRNA from 1 species